rnacentral:tRNA from 1 species
GUUAAUGAGCUUGAACAAGCAUAUGUUUUGAAAACAUAAGAUAGAUUGCCCCUCUAUUAACUU